GAUGAACGCUAGCGGCAGGCCUAAUACAUGCAAGUCGGACGGGAUUCAGGAGUUUGUUUCUGAUGAGAGUGGCGCACGGGUGCGUAACACGUAUGUAACCUACCUUUAUCAGGGGGAUAGCCUCUCGAAAGAGAGAUUAACCCCGCACAAAAUCACAGCACAGCCUUGUGUAAUGAUCAAAAAUUUAUCGGAUAAAGAUGGGAAUGCGGAACAUUAGCUAGAUGGCGGGGUAACGGCCCACCAUGGCGACGAUGGCUAGGGGAACUGGGAGGAUGGCCCCCGGGACUGGGACUGGGACCCGGCCCAGACUCCUGCGGGCAGCAGGGGAAAGGAGGAUAGGGAAGUGAGCGGAAGCGUGAACCAGCCAUGCCGCGUGCAGGAAGACCGCACUGCGGGUUGUAGUCUGCUGUUAUACGGGAAUGAGCCCAGAUACGUGUAUCUAACUGAAUGUACUGAAAGAGUAAGGAACGGCUAACUACGUG
rnacentral:rRNA from 1 species